rnacentral:rRNA from 1 species
AAGUUUGAUGGCGACCGGCGCACGGGUGAGUAACACGUAUCCAACCUGCCGAUGACUCGGGGAUAGCCUUUCGAAAGAAAGAUUAAUACCCGAUGGCAUAGUUCUUCCGCAUGGUAGAACUAUUAAAGAAUUUCGGUCAUCGAUGGGGAUGCGUUCCAUUAGGUUGUUGGCGGGGUAACGGCCCACCAAGCCUUCGAUGGAUAGGGGUUCUGAGAGGAAGGUCCCCCACAUUGGAACUGAGACACGGUCCAAACUCCUACGGGAGGCCAGCAUG